rnacentral:rRNA from 1 species
UCUUCCCUCUUUCUUCGUGCCUAAUACAUGCAAGUCGAGCGAACAGACGAGGAGCUUGCUCCUCUGACGUUAGCGGCGGACGGGUGAGUAACACGUGGAUAACCUACCUAUAAGACUGGGAUAACUUCGGGAAACCGGAGCUAAUGCCGGAUAAUAUAUUGAACCGCAUGGUUCAAUAGUGAAAGACGGUUUUGCUGUCACUUAUAGAUGGAUCCGCGCCGCAUUAGCUAGUUGGUAAGGUAACGGCUUACCAAGGCAACGAUGCGUAGCCGACCUGAGAGGGUGAUCGGCCACACUGGAACUGAGACACGGUCCAGACUCCUACGGGAGGCAGCAGUAGGGAAUCUUCCGCAAUGGGCGAAAGCCUGACGGAGCAACGCCGCGUGAGUGAUGAAGGUCUUCGGAUCGUAAAACUCUGUUAUUAGGGAAGAACAAAUGUGUAAGUAACUAUGCACGUCUUGACGGUACCUAAUCAGAAAGCCACGGCUAACUACGUG